UACGAAGGGGGCUAGCGUUGUUCGGAAUUACUGGGCGUAAAGCGCACGUAGGCGGAUAUUUAAGUCAGGGGUGAAAUCCCAGAGCUCAACUCUGGAACUGCCUUUGAUACUGGGUAUCUUGAGUAUGGAAGAGGUAAGUGGAAUUGCGAGUGUAGAGGUGAAAUUCGUAGAUAUUCGCAGGAACACCAGUGGCGAAGGCGGCUUACUGGUCCAUAACUGACGCUG
rnacentral:rRNA from 1 species